UAGCAAUCAGCGAGACUCCGUGGGGUAGGACCCUCCGAGCCAGGUGGGAGAUAUAAUCUCUUGGUGCGCUGUUUUUUAAGCCCGUCGGAAAAGCGCAGUAUUAGGGUGGGAGUGACCCGAUUUUCCAGGUGCGGUCUGUUACCCUUUUCUUUGACUAGGAAAGGGAACUCCCUGACCCCUUGCGCUUCCCACUGACCUGCGCCCACUGUCUGGCACUCCCUAGUGAGAUGAACCCGGUACCUCAGAUGGAAAUGCAGAAAUCACCCGUCUUCUGUGUCGCUCACCCUGGGAGCUGUAGACCGGAGCUGUUCCUAUGCAGCCAUCUUGGCUGCCACCUCUGAAAUGAGAAAACCAAGAAAUUAAAGAAGAGGGCUGAAUCCACUCAUACUGGAUGGAAGAAGAAAAGAUGACUUAUCUGCUGAGAAGCUUAUGAGUGGCUACAAGGAGUCUCACUGUGUAACCAAGUCUGGUCUCCAAUUCCUGGCCUCAAGUGAUCCUCCCAUCUGGACCUCCCAAAGCACUGGGAUUACAGAGAUUUGAAGAAGCAAACUGGGCUAUUGUCAGCAUCUGUGUGGAGAGGUUCAGAUGACAAGGAACUGAGGACUGCCUCUGAUCAACAGCCCGGAAGAAAGAGAUAUCUUUUCUCAGCAAGUAGCAGUUCUUUUCUACAGUCAAGCCUCAGUUCAUCCUAUUUCCAACUGUCUGGAAGAAUGGUCCACAAAGGAGCCACGAUAAGAUGACUGAAAAGAAACCUCCAGUGAUCAUCCCCCCACAGGGGGAAAACAAAAUUGAACAACUAUUCAUGCAAGAAAGCACCUUCAUAAGAACUAA
rnacentral:lncRNA from 1 species